rnacentral:rRNA from 1 species
AGGCUUUGAUCCUGGCUCAGGAUGAACGCUAGCGGCGGGCUUAAUACAUGCAAGUCGAGGGGCAGCAUGAGUAGCAAUACUUGAUGGCGACCGGCGGACGGGUGCGUAACACGUAUGCAACCUACCUUUUACAGGGGGAUAGCCCGGAGAAAUCCGGAUUAAUACCCCAUAAUAUAUUGAUUGGCAUCGAUUGAUAUUGAAAGCUGAGGCGGUAAAAGAUGGGCAUGCGUCCUAUUAGCUAGUUGGUAGGGUAACGGCCUACCAAGGCGACGAUAGGUAGGGGGCCUGAGAGGGUGAUCCCCCACACUGGUACUGAGACACGGACCAGACUCCUACGGGAGGCAGCAGUAAGGAAUAUUGGUCAAUGGGCGAGAGCCUGAACCAGCCACGCCGCGUGCAGGAAGACGGCCCUCUGGGUUGUAAACUGCUUUUAUACGGGAAGAAAUCUUUGGAUGCGUCCAAGAGUUGACGGUACCUUAUGAAUAAGGAUCGGGUAAUCCGU